CCUCAGGACAGAUUUAAAGACAUGGGAUCAGGGAUAACACAAUUAUCUAGAUUGGACUCCCUCACCCAGCCCAGAAAUCCCCUCUGUAGCUUCCUGAAGUGUUUCUGCCCUGAGCUGGGAUACUGGGAAAAGCAAGCAGCCUUUCUGCCCUUUGUAGCUGCACAAAUCCAGCAAACGAGAAGGUGCCAGACUUUAGUCAGCCUCACCCUUCAGCUGCAGUCUAGCUUUCCUGGACCUUGGAGUCAUAGAGGUUCCUUUUUGGAGGGAUGGCACAAGAUGAUGAUGAUGAUGAUGAUGAUGAUGAUGAUGAUGAUGAUGAUGAAGAGGAACGUCCAGGUCCUGAGUCGGUAACACAUGAGCCUGGAGCAGAAAAGGCUGGAGUCUGCUGUACAGCUGGUGUGUGUGGUCCAGAGGCCAUCAAAACAAAACAACCACAGCUGUAAGCAUCCAGCGGAAAUGUUCCAUUGAGACACUUGUGCCCCAACUUUUGGCUGUCAAACUACUGAGGCAAUGAACUCCAAGAAAUUGGAAUUUCCCCAGGAUUUCCAUUCUAGGACAAUGAGAAGCCUGGAAGCUUGGUACCAGCCAAAGGAACCAAUUGGGAUCUUGUCUCCAAGAGAUUGACAGCUUGUCAGGCAGCUUCCAACUGAGACCAGCUGAGACCAGCAGAGACCAGCAGAGACCAGCAGAGACCAUGAUGAAGGGCAGGACCUCACCUUGACCAUGACUGCUUACCUGUACAAGUUUGCCCUCUAUUUUAACCCCAAGUUUCUCUUUACGAUCUGAAAAUGGACUUGGGAGGAACUCUCUG
rnacentral:lncRNA from 1 species